ACAAGUCUAUCAGGAAGCAAGCAGAACAGGAACCCAUGCCUAGAACUGAUUGCAACUGAAAAAAAAAAAUGGGUUUGCACAAUCAAAAGCAUCAGAAGAGAAAAUGCAUUGGAAGCUGUAAUCUUAAUCACCUGGUUCUUAUACUUUGAAGGGAUCCUUGAUUUUAUGCAAGGAAGAUGAUAAUGACUACUUCUGGAAUAACACAAUUUUAGAGCUCAAACAGACCUCAGCAGCCUUCUGGUCCAACUCAUAGCUAAAAAAGAAAUGAUGAUGUGAAAGAUGUAUAAUCAUGGGUUCUUAUGAUUCUAUGGGACUUAAAAAAGUAAUCUUUUUUUGGUACACUUGCAUAUUUUAAAGUUUUAUUGAUGUCUUUUGCAUUUACAUUAUAUUAAUUUCUGAA